rnacentral:misc_RNA from 1 species
AUGAAGAACGCAGCGAAAUGCGAUACUUGGUGUGAAUUGCAGAAUCCCGUGAACCAUCGAGUCUUUGAACGCAAGUUGCGCCCGAAGCCUCGGCUAAGGGCACGUCUGCCUGGGCGUCACGCAUCGCGUCUCCCCCAAACCGCCAAGGCGGAGGGGAAGGAAGAUGGCUUCCCGUGCCUCACCCGGCGCGGUUGGCCUAAAUUUGGAGCCCGCGGCACUUAGCUCUCGCGGCGAUAGGUGGUGAACAAGGCCUUGGCCGUGCAAACAACCCGCUGCGAAGCUCUAUGUCACGUGCGCUCGUCGGACCCUUUGAAGUUGCCUUCGGUGACUUAAAACCUUUGCGACCCCAGGUCAGGCGGGGCUACCCGCUGAAUUUAAGCAUAUCAAUAAGCGGAGGA